rnacentral:rRNA from 1 species
AUGGAGGCGGCGAUGGGGACCCUCGGCUCGCAGUCCCCGCUCUCAUUCUCCUCCAGCCUCUGCAACGCAAAGGCAUCUUGUGGCUGGCCUGUUUAUAAUGUGAAGAAGCUCGAGGGCAGUCAGAGGCUCGACGUGGUCUGCCAUGGAAUGCUGGCGCCCAGAAAGUUUGUACACAAGAAGAGAGAAGAGGAGGUCUUCAAGGACGCCGAUGAUGAGGCCAAGCAAAAGAACUGGAGGAGAAUGAUGAGUGAGAUAGAGGAGUCUGGAUCGGCCGUGUCUUCCAUUCUCAAGACCCAACGGAACACAACGGGGACGCUGCCGAGGGACACUGUUCUCGGGACUCUUGUGCGGUUCAAACAGCUCAAAAAAUGGAAUCUGGUCAGCGAGAUUCUCGAGUGGCUUCGAACGCAACAUUGGUGGGACUUCAGCGAGAUGGACUUUUUGAUGCUUGUCACGGCUUACGGGAAGCUGGGAGAAUUCAGCAGGGCGGAAAGGGUCCUCAAGUACAUGAACAAGAAAGGUUACCGGCCGACGGUGAUAUCUCAGACCGCUCUCAUGGAGGCAUAUGGAAGAGCCAAGCAGUACAGAAAGGCCGAGGCUGUGUUUCAUAAGAUGCAGACGUCAGGCCCUGAACCAUCACCCAUCACAUAUCAAAUCAUUCUGAAAUCGCUUGUUGAGGGCGACAAAUAUAAGGAAGCUGAAGCUAUUUUCGAGGACCUUCUUAAUGAAAAAAGAGCUUCUUUUAAACCAGACCAGAAGAUGUUUCAUAUGAUGAUCUAUAUGUACAAGAAGGCUGGGGACUAUACCCAAGCGCGUAAGCUAUUCGCACAGAUGCCCGAGAGAGGAGUCCCACAGUCUACAGUGACUUUUAAUAGUUUGAUGUCAUUUGAAGCAGACUAUAAGGAAGUUUCAAGUAUUUAUGAUCAGAUGCAAAGAGCCGGACUAAAACCAGAUGUUGUGAGCUAUUCUCUGCUCAUCAAAGCUUACGGGAAAGCUAGGAGGGAAGAUGAAGCAUUGGCGGUGUUUGAAGAGAUGCUUGAUGCUGGAAUCAGGCCAACGCGCAAAUCAUACAACAUCUUGCUUGAUGCAUUCGCAGUAUCUGGAUUAGUAGAAGAGGCUCGAACAGUUUUCAAGACUAUGAGAAGACACAGGGUUGAGCCUGAUCUCUGCUCUUACACAACAAUGCUCUUAGCUUACGUAAAUGCUUCUGAUAUGGAUGGGGCUGAGAAAUUUUUCCGUCGGAUCAAAGACGAUGGUUUGAGGCCAAACGUUGUUGCUUAUGGAACUCUGAUGAAAGGCUACUCAAAGUUGGACGAUGUUGAGAAAGUAAUGCGGGUUUAUGAGCGAAUGCGGAUGCAGGGUGUUGAACCCAAUCAAACCAUCUUUACCACCAUCAUGGAUGCACAUGGCAGGAACUCAGAUUUCGGAAAUGCUGUCAUUUGGUUCAACGAAAUGGAAACACGUGGAUACCCCCCAGACAAGAAAGCGAAGAACAUCCUGCUUUCUCUUGCUAAAACACCUGAAGAACAAGAAGAAGCGAAUGAGUUGACGGGGAAUGGUGCGGUUCAGCUUGAAGUAAAACCCAACGGCAUGCCCUCCGGCUUAGGUACCAAUGGUGCCGAUGUGGACGAAGCUGGGCUAACUGAUAGUACUGCACAUCACCACUCCUUAAAUGGCGCAUCCACAAGUGAUCUAAAUGGUAGAAACAAGGCGGGAAGCAGUGGUUUUGAGGAUGAAGACGACGAUGAUGAUUACGAGGAACUGGAUGAUGAAGAGUUAGAUUUUGUUUCUUUCAAAGAUAAGCGAGAACUAAAUUUUGCGACUUGA